rnacentral:rRNA from 1 species
CCUACGGGUGGCAGCAGUGAGGAAUAUUGGUCAAUGGUCGGGAGACUGAACCAGCCAAGCCGCGUGAGGGAUGAAGGUACAGAGUAUCGUAAACCUCUUUUGUCAGGGAGCAAUUGGGUCCACGCGUGGGCUUAGCGAGAGUACCUGAAGAAAAAGCAUCGGCUAACUCCGUGCCAGCAGCCGCGGUAAUACGGAGGAUGCGAGCGUUAUCCGGAUUUAUUGGGUUUAAAGGGUGCGUAGGCGGAAUAUCAAGUCAGCGGUAAAAAUUCGGGGCUCAACCCCGUCGUGCCGUUGAAACUGAUGUUCUUGAGUGGGCGAGAAGUAUGCGGAAUGCGUGGUGUAGCGGUGAAAUGCAUAGAUAUCACGCAGAACUCCGAUUGCGAAGGCAGCAUACCGGCGCCCAACUGACGCUGAAGCACGAAAGCGUGGGUAUCGAACAGGAUUAGAUACCCUUGUAGUC